AGGUUAAGUUAUGAAGGGCGCAUGGUGAAUGCCUUGGUACUAGGAGCCGAUGAAGGACGGGACUAACACCGAUAUGCUUCGGGGAGCGGUAAGUACGCUUUGAUCCGGAGAUUUCCGAAUGGGGAAACCCAAUCAUCUUAGUCGAUGAUUACUUGAGCAGUGAAUUCAUAGCUGCCAAGAGGUAGACGCAGUGAACUGAAACAUCUUAGUAGCUGCAGGAAGAGAAAGAAAAUUCGAUUCCCUGAGUAGCGGCGAGCGAAACGGGAAGAGCCCAAACCACUGAGCUUGCUCAGUGGGGUUGUAGGACUGAACUUUGGAGUUACCAAAGAAUCAGGUAGUCGAAGUGGCUGGGAAGCCACACCAGAGAUGGUGAUAGUCCAGUAGACGAAACCUGGUUCUCUCCGUUCAGGAUCCUGAGUACGGCGGGACACGUGAAACCCCGUCGGAAUCCGCGAGGACCAUCUCGCAAGGCUAAAUACUCCCUAGUGACCGAUAGUGAACCAGUACCGUGAGGGAAAGGUGAAAAGCACCCCGGGAGGGGAGUGAAAUAGUUCCUGAAACCAUAUGCCUACAAGUAGUCAGAGCUCGUUAAUGAGUGAUGGCNGUGCCUACAAGCUGUCGGAGCCCGUUAAUGGGUGACGGCGUGCCUCUUGCAGAAUGAACCGGCGAGUCAUGAUUACGUGCAAGGUUAAGGUGGAAAAACCGGAGCCGCAGCGAAAGCGAGUCUGAAAUGGGCGUAUGAAGUACGUAGUUAUGUACCCGAAACCAGGUGACCUACCCAUGUCCAGGGUGAAGGUGCGGUAAAACGCACUGGAGGCCCGAACCCGUGUCUGUUGAAAAAGGCUGGGAUGAGGUGUGGGUAGCGGUGAAAUUCCAAACGAACUUGGAGAUAGCUGGUUCUCUCCGAAAUCUCUUUAGGGGGAGCCUCGGAAUCGAGAAUCUUGGAGGUAGAGCACUGUUUGGACGAGGGGCCCGUCAUGGGUUACCGACUUCAGAUAAACUCCGAAUGCCAAUGAUUUAUGUCCGGGAGUCAGACGAUGAGUGAUAAGAUCCACCGUCGAAAGGGGAACAGCCCAGAUCACCAGUUAAGGUCCCUAAAUAUAUGCUAAGUGGAAAAGGAUGUGGAGUUGCAUAGACAACUAGGAUGUUGGCUCAGAAGCAGCCAUCAUUUAAAGAGUGCGUAAUAGCUCACUAGUCGAGUGAUUCUGCGCCGAAAAUGUACCGGGGCUAAGCAUAUUACCGAAACUGUGGAUGUGUCCUUUUGGACACGUGAUAGGAGAGCGUUCUAAGGGCGACGAAGUUAGACCGUGAGGACUAGUGGAGCGCUUAGAAGUGAGAAUGCCGGUAUGAGUAGCGAAAGACAGGUGAGAAUCCUGUCCACCGAAUGACUAAGGUUUCCUGGGGAAGGCUCGUCCUCCCAGGGUAAGUCGGGACCUAAGGCGAGGCCGAGAGGCGUAGUCGAUGGAUAACAGGUUGAGAUUCCUGUACCAGUUAAAUGCGUUUGAAUGAUGGAGGGACGCAGGAGGCUAAGCAAACCAGACGAUUGGAAGUGUCUGGCCAAGCAGUAAGUCAGGUUUAGAGUCAAAUGCUUUAAGCCGGGUUGACAAGCUGUGAUGGGGAGCGAAAUUAAAGUAGCGAAGUUGCCGAUGUCACACUGCCGAGAAAAGCUUCUAGUGAGUAUUUAACUGCCCGUACCGCAAACCGACACAGGUAGUCGAGGAGAGAAUCCUAAGGUGAGCGAGUGAACUCUCGUUAAGGAACUCGGCAAAAUGACCCCGUAACUUCGGGAGAAGGGGUGCUGGUCGCAAGACCAGCCGCAGUGAAAAGGCCCAGGCGACUGUUUAUCAAAAACACAGGUUUCUGCAAAAUCGUAAGAUGAAGUAUAGGGGCUGACGCCUGCCCGGUGCUGGAAGGUUAAGAGGAUGGGUUAGCGUAAGCGAAGCUCAGAAUUGAAGCCCCAGUAAANNNGAAUUGCCUGUGAAGAUGCAGGCUACCCGCGACAGGACGGAAAGACCCCAUGGAGCUUUACUGUAGCUUGAUAUUGAGUGUUUGUACUACUUGUACAGGAUAGGUAGGAGCCGUAGAAACCGGGACGCUAGUUUCGGUGGAGGCAUUGGUGGGAUACUACCCUUGUAUUAUGACCACUCUAACCCGCACCACUGAUCGUGGUGGGAGACAGUGUCAGGUGGGCAGUUUGACUGGGGCGGUCGCCUCCCAAAAGGUAACGGAGGCGCCCAAAGGUUCGCUCAGAAUGGUUGGAAAUCAUUCGCAGAGUGUAAAGGCACAAGCGAGCUUGACUGCGAGACAGACAGGUCGAGCAGGGACGAAAGUCGGGCUUAGUGAUCCGGUGGUUCCGCAUGGAAGGGCCAUCGCUCAACGGAUAAAAGCUACCCUGGGGAUAACAGGCUUAUCUCCCCCAAGAGUUCACAUCGACGGGGAGGUUUGGCACCUCGAUGUCGGCUCAUCGCAUCCUGGGGCUGUAGUCGGUCCCAAGGGUUGGGCUGUUCGCCCAUUAAAGCGGUACGCGAGCUGGGUUCAGAACGUCGUGAGACAGUUCGGUCCCUAUCCGUCGCGGGCGUAGGAAAUUUGAGAGGAUCUGUCCUUAGUACGAGAGGACCGGGAUGGACAUACCGCUGGUGUACCAGUUGUUCCGCCAGGAGCAUCGCUGGGUAGCUAAGUAUGGAUGAGAUAAACGNUGUAUGGAUGAGAUAAACGCUGAAAGCAUCUAAGUGUGAAACUCGCCUCAAGAUGAGAUUUCCCAUUCCUUUGGAAGUAAGACCCCACAGAGAUGAUGUGGUAGAUAGGAUGGAAGUGGAAGUGCGGUGACGCAUGGAGCGGACCAUUACUAAUCGGUCGAGGACUUAACCAAG
rnacentral:rRNA from 1 species